ACUUCUGUGACUGCUGGAUCCCUCUGUGCAGGCUGUCCUGGCCACCGGUGGAGACAAGAGUCAAGUACUAAAGAUGAGGCUGCCUCUGAAAGGGAAGCCUGCCGCAGCUCGUAAUCUAACCCUAGAGCCCCUCUGAGAAACAACACUGUGGACUCAGGACUCUAUUCACCCUCCUCCCACUUGCUCAGUCAUCCUGCUGCACACCAUCUGUUACCUGAUAAGCCCUCUUCAGCAUCCCUAGCUGAUGGAGGAGAUCUUUGGCCUCAGCUGGUGUUUUCCGUUGACAGUCUGACCAGACUUUCAGGAUCAAGUGAUUCCUGGCCAAGAAACAAAAGCAGAAUGGUCCCAUUCCUCAAUGGAUUCAGAUUAAACUGAUAAUAAAAUCAGCUACAACUUUAAGAGGAGACAGUGGAGAAAAACCAAGCUGGGUUCUUGGCAUACAUGAGAUGGCACACAUAUUUAUGCUAUAUCAAGCACGGACAUUUUACCAGCUGGCAUUUAUGGAUUUCUAGCCUGAUGAUUUGGUGAACUUUUGAUAUGGGUUUUCCAUGCCAUCCCCGACUCUUCUCUUUUCUUCUCCCCUCCUCUCAAUAGAUCUGCCUUUUUAGGCCACUGCCCUCGCUCCACAAGUCAGACAUAACUAAGUUCCAGGGUAUCCUGUUACUGAACUAGAUAUGAUUACCUCUUUGGAGAAGAGAGGACUUUGGAUCA